AUUGAACGCUGGCGGCAGGCCUAACACAUGCAAGUCGAACGAGUGGCGGACGGGUGAGUAAUGUCUGGGAAACUGCCCGAUGGAGGGGGAUAACUACUGGAAACGGUAGCUAAUACCGCAUACCAUCGGAUGUGCCCAGAUGGGAUUAGCUAGUCGGUGGGGUAACGGCUCCCCUAGGCGACGAUCCCUAGCUGGUCUGCGAGGAUGACCAGCCACACUGGAACUGAGAAACGGUCCCGAAUCCGACGGGAGGCAGCAGUGGGGAAUAAUGCACAAUGGGCGCAAUCCUGAUGCAGCCAUGCCGCGUGUAUGAAGAAGGCCUUCGGGUUGUAAAGUACUUUCAGCGAGGAGGCGUGACUCGCAUAAGAAGCACCGGCUAACGCCGUGCCAGCAGCCGCGGUAAUUC
rnacentral:rRNA from 1 species